rnacentral:rRNA from 1 species
GAUGAACGCUGGCGGCGCGCCUAACACAUGCAAGUCGAACGGCACCCCUCCUCGGAGGGCAGCGAGUGGCGAACGGCUGAGUAACACGUGGAGAACCUGCCCCCUCCCCCGGGAUAGCCGCCCGAAAGGACGGGUAAUACCGGAUACCCCGGGGUGCCGCAUGGCACCCCGGCUAAAGCCCCGACGGGAGGGGAUGGCUCCGCGGCCCAUCAGGUAGACGGCGGGGUGACGGCCCACCGUGCCGACAACGGGUAGCCGGGUUGAGAGACCGACCGGCCAGAUUGGGACUGAGACACGGCCCAGACCCCUACGGGAGGCCGCAGUGGGGAAUCUUGCGCAAUGGGGGGAACCCUGACGCAGCGACGCCGCGUGCGGGACGGAGGCCUUCGGGUCGUAAACCGCUUUCAGCAGGGAAGAGUCAAGACUUUACCUGCAGAAGAAGCCCCGGCUAACUACGUG